rnacentral:lncRNA from 1 species
CUCCCUGGCAUGUGGGAGGCUGCGUUUUCUACUUCUCUCUCCAACGAGGAAAAUUUAAUGGGAGCACAGGAGAGUCCUAGAGUUUUCCAGCUGGGGAGGGAAGGUGUCAGAGUUAAGAUUCAAACCAACCUCCUGAAUUCCUUGCCUACUUUUCUUGCCACUGAAUCAUGAAAGCCACGUGUGACACUGAGAAAUGCCUAUCACUCCAGCAACUCCAAAGGGGCAGAGCAUUCAAGGACUAUUUCUGGAGGAGAUUAACGUUUCCAUAAGUAAAUUCUGGGAAAAGCAGGUUGCCCUCCCUACUGUAGGUGGGCCUUAUUCAAUCAACUGAAGACCUGAACAGAAGAGAAAGGCUGGGUAAGAGGGAACCUCAGCUGCCUGUGUGAGCUGGGACACUGACCUUUUCCAGCCUUCAGGCUUGGACUGAAACAUUGGCUCUUCAUGGGUCUCGAGCCUGCUGGCUUUCACACUGGAACUUACACAGUCUGCUCUCCUGGGUCUGUAGUUUGCCAAGUGCAGAUCUUGGGACUACUCAAUCUCUAUAAUUGCAUGAGCCAAUUCCUGAAAAUAAAUACACACACACACACACCACAUACACAUGCACACACACACACACAAAUGCACACACACACACAUACCACAUACACAUGCACACACACUUUCUUUUCUUUAGGCAUUGUGUAGCUCUGAGAGCUUUCUAUGUAUCUGGCUUCUACGGUGACUCAACUCCUGAUAACAGUUUUUAAUAUUGUUUCUCAUGUAUCAGCCUUGUACCUUAAUGAAAGUAGAUACCAUAGUUUCUCUUUCCUAUAGGCUACUCCUCCAGGCUGGGCACAUGCCUAGUUCUUGUUGAAUUCCCUUCAGCAGAAUAUGGGGUAAAUAUGUGACAAUAUUGAUGAAGAUCAAAGACACCACUUCUUAAAGGCCUAUGGCAAUGAUCUCCAAUUUUGUCCUCCAAAAUUAAGUGUCUCUGAUAAAUCACUCAACAUGGAGGUCCAUUCUUUAUCUUACUUUCAUCUCUCUUGCCAUAAUCUGUGUCUGAUUCAAUUUGGAGCAAUUUAUGUGCUCCUGAGAAUGGAGAAUGGGUGAGCAG